rnacentral:rRNA from 1 species
GUAUAAAACAACCUCCGAGUAAUUUAAACCAAGACUCACUCGUCAAAGUAAUAAAGCCUAUUGAUCCAAUCAUAUUGAUCAACGGAACAAGUUACCCUAGGGAUAACAGCGCAAUCCUAUUUAAGAGUUCACAUCGACAAUAGGGUUUACGACCUCGAUGUUGGAUCAGGACACCCAAAUGGUGCAGCAGCUAUUAAAGGUUCGUUUGUUCAACGAUUAAAGUCCUACGUGAUCUGAGUUCAGACCGGAGAA